UACGUAGGGUGCGAGCGUUAAUCGGAAUUACUGGGCGUAAAGCGUGCGUAGACGGUUAUUUAAGUCGGGUGUGAAAGCCCCGGGCUCAACCUGGGAAUUGCAUUCGAGACUGAAUAGCUAGGGUACGGUAGAGGGAAGUGGAAUUUCCGGUGUAGCGGUGAAAUGCGUAGAUAUCGGAAGGAACAUCAGUGGCGAAAGCGACUUCCUGGACCAGUACCGACGUUCAGGCACGAAAGCGUUGGGAGCAAACAGG
rnacentral:rRNA from 1 species